GGGGGGGGGGGGGCGUCCCUCAGCCUGAAUUGCGAGAGGGUGCAGGCCAGGCCAAGGGACCUCACCAGUGCAUG
rnacentral:pre_miRNA from 1 species